rnacentral:rRNA from 1 species
GACGAACGCUGGCGGCGUGCUUAACACAUGCAAGUCGAACGAAGCGCUUAAACGGAUUUCUUCGGAAUGAAGUUUUUGCGACUGAGUCGGGCGCGGGUGAAGGUACGCGUAGGUAACCGUGCCUCAUACAGGGGAUAACAGUUAGAAAUGACUGCUAAUACCGCAUAAGCGCACAGUGCUGCAUGGCACAGUGUGAAAAACUCCGGUGGUAUGAGAUGGACCCGCGUCUGAUUAGGUAGUUGGUGGGGUAACGGCCUACCAAGCCGACGAUCAGUAGCCGACCUGAGAGGGUGACCGGCCACAUUGGGACUGAGACACGGCCCAA